rnacentral:tRNA from 1 species
GCGCGAAGUUGCCUAGUGGACAUGGCAUCUGCCCGGUAAGCGGAACACUGUGGGUUCGAUUCCCCUUCCUGGACA